rnacentral:rRNA from 1 species
UACGGAGGGUGCAAACGUUGCUCGGAAUCAUUGGGCGUAAAGCGCACGUAGGUGGUCCGGUAAGUCGGGAGUGAAAGCCCUCGGCUUAACCGAGGAAGUGCUUUCGAAACUACCGGACUUGAAUACUGGAGAGGGUCGCGGAAUUCCCGGUGUAGAGGUGAAAUUCGUAGAUAUCGGGAGGAACACCAGUGGCGAAGGCGGCGACCUGGACAGAUAUUGACACUGAGGUGCGAAAGCGUGGGGAGCAAACAGG